AUGAAGUUUUUUUAAAGCUAAAUUUAGUUUUUUACUUGUGUCUGAGAUGUUAUCACCACUGCAAUAAAUAGCCAAAUCAUCAGCAAACUGUAAAUUGUUUACUUCUGAUCCUAACAUUUCAUUUAGCCUAUGGAUAUAAAGUAUAUACAAAAGAGGACUCAAAAUACCACCUUGACAAACGCCUUUAGUAGAUAAUCUGGGUCCAAAAAUUGAAUUAGAGCUAAUUUUUACAUAAACUUCCCUUCCACUAAUGAAUUCAUGAAUCCACCUUACGCAUUUUUCAGGUAUUCCCAAAGAAGAAAGAGUUGUACAUAAAACUGAAUGGUUAAUGUUAUUAAAUGCGCCUACAAUAUCAAAAAAGAUACAUAUAAGAUGUUUAUUACUGUUAAUGGCAGUGUUAAUAUCAUGGAAGAGAUGACCUAUACUUUCUCUUGCUGAUCGACCACGACGAAACCCAAAUUGAUUUCUUGGAAGCAUAUGAUUACUUUCAAUAUAAAACUCAAGACGCUGUUUUAUUAGUUGCUCAAAGAGUUUGCCUAAACAGGAUGUUAAAGCUAUUGGUCGAGUCCAGGACAUCUCUUCCACGAGCACUGACGGAUUGACAGCCCCAAAUGGUGUGAUGAGCAUUAAAAUCGCCUGAUACAAAACAUGGUUUAGAUGGAGCAGCGUUCCGAGUUCUUACAAAACUUUGCUAAAUGGCCAUACCUGAGACACCGGAAACAUUGUUUGACUGGCGGAACAUACGCUGAAAUAUCAUGCCGCCAUCCGUCCAAGUCGACGUAGUCUGGAAGUACUGACGUCGCGAAGGUGAUGGCUACAGUCUGCAGGGGCUGUUGAAUAAAAUUGUUGUCAAUCUUUGUCCUCUUUGUGAAUCUCCUUACAGAUAUGAUCUUCUUGUAACUAGACAGCAUGGUGAAGAUUUUUUUGUUAGUCA